UCNGUAACAAGUGUGUCACAAGAUGGCUGA
rnacentral:piRNA from 1 species